GACGAACGCUGGCGGCAGGCCUAACACAUGCAAGUCGAGCGGAGUGGCGGACGGGUGAGUAAUGUCUAGGAAUCUGCCUGGUAGAGGGGGAUAACGUCCGGAAACGGGCGCUAAUACCGCAUACUACCAGAUGAGCCUAGGUCGGAUUAGCUAGGUGGUGGGGUAAAGGCCUACCAAGGCGACGAUCCGUAACUGGUCUGAGAGGAUGAUCAGUCACACGGGAACUGAGACACGGUCCAGACUCCUACGGGAGGCAGCAGUGGGGAAUAUUGGACAAUGGGCGAAAGCCUGAUCCAGACAUGCCGCGUGUGUGAAGAAGGUCUUCGGAUUGUAAAGCACUUUAAGUUGGGAGGCGUUACCAACAGAAUAAGCACCGGCUAACUUCGUGCCAGCAGCCGCGGUAAUUC
rnacentral:rRNA from 1 species